rnacentral:lncRNA from 1 species
UCCGCCAUCUUUGGGAAUUCUGCAUACUUCAUCCGGGUAACGGGAGAGUGGCAUAUCCUGUCUGGUACAGUCUAAAGCCGUUCAACCCAGUGUGAUCAGUGAGUGUGGGCCAACUAGCUCUAAAAGGUAUAUUUUUGGAACACAUGAUAACAAUGCAGUACUACACAGAACUAAUUCAGGUGCAGUUCUAGAUGCAAAGAAAAACAUGAAAGCCAAACUAAGAAGGCAGGUAAGGUCUUAGAAACUCUUUGCAUAUUGUAUACAUUUCUNUAUUAUUUGAACUGGUUGUAUUUAAUGGUAAAUGUACA